rnacentral:rRNA from 1 species
GGGGGAAUUGUUCGCAAUGGGCGCAAGCCUGACGACGCAACGCCGCGUGGAGGAUGAAGAUUUUCGGAUCGUAAACUCCUGUCGAAUGGGACGAAUAGAUUGCGGGUUAACAGCCCGCGGUCCUGACGGUACCGUUAAAGGAAACCCCGGCUAACUCCGUGCCAGCAGCCGCGGUAAUACGGGGGGGGUAAGCGUUGUUCGGAAUUACUGGGCGUAAAGGGCUCGUAGGUGGCCAACUAAGUCAUACGUGAAAUCCCUCGGCUUAACCGGGGAACUGCGUCUGAUACUGGUUGGCUUGAGUUUGGGAGAGGGACGCGGAAUUCCAGGUGUAGCGGUGAAAUGCGUAGAUAUCUGGAGGAACACCGGUGGCGAAGGCGGCGUCCUGGACCAAUACUGACACUGAGGAGCGAAAGCCAGGGGAGCAAA